rnacentral:tRNA from 1 species
GCCUUCGUGGUGUAGUGGUCAGCACGCUCGGCGCGUAUUCGAGAGGUCCGUGGUUCAAAUCCCGGCGAGGGCA